ensembl:ncRNA C27D6.13 ncRNA
UCGGAACUGCACAAUUUACACCUCUUGCAACAUAGAAAUUGAGAAAGUUUCCGAAAAAAGAUUCACCAAGAGUUCGAACUAGAAUACUUCCAAUAGUGUAUGCUCCAAAGAAAACAAGAUGGGUGAAUGUGAGAAUUAAUGUGAAUU